rnacentral:lncRNA from 1 species
UUUCUUAUUUAGCUUAUAUUUUUUCCACGGUAAGAUGAAUAUCUCUCUUUCCUGGUUAAUCAAGCUUCUAGAGAUGUAUGUUAACCUUGGUGGCAUUCUUUUUGGUAGAACUGAAAUGAGCACCAGGCGUGUUGUAAGACAUCUCAGUUACACGAUCGUUUAACAAACAUCUUUAUUCAACAUUACAUGGUUCAUGCCGGAGAACCAUCACUUAGAUGGUAUUUCUAUACAACAACACUUUGGAAUUUCCACAUUAUGGGUCUUGCAAUAGUGUCUGAAGUUAUGUGAGCCUCUGCGUCUACAUAGAUCUUCACACCUCUCGCUAUUGCAGGGAUUGAGAGUCUCACAGAUCACAUGAUAAACAGAUUCUGUAAAAGCAACAUAUAUACACAAAUCAAACAAGAUAUAUUAGUGAUGCAUUGGUUAAUUGGAACACUAGGAAAGUGCACAAAAAAUGGGGGUAUAUACUGGCUUACGAGUGUCUGCAUGGCAGGAUGGGAAGGUAGAACACAUCAUGGAAAACACCAUGAAAGCAAUAGCCAUGUAUAGCAUGGCCGUCGACCAUCUUGCACUGUUAUUAGCAAGUGCCAUCAGAACGAAGAUAUUGCUUUUUUCUACUUCUCCUUUUCUUAUGUUCCUAUGUGAUCACUGCUAUAUACAAACUCCUAGGUGAGCUACUAUUUAUAGAGAGCUAGAAUAGCAUCUUAGAUAAUG